UACGGAGGGUGCAAGCGUUAUCCGGAAUCAUUGGGUUUAAAGGGUCCGUAGGCGGUUUGGUAAGUCAGUGGUGAAAGCCCAUCGCUCAACGGUGGAACGGCCAUUGAUACUGCCAGACUUGAAUUAUUAGGAAGUAACUAGAAUAUGUAGUGUAGCGGUGAAAUGCUUAGAGAUUACAUGGAAUACCAAUUGCGAAGGCAGGUUACUACUAAUGGAUUGACGCUGAUGGACGGAAGCGUGGGUAGCGAACAGG
rnacentral:rRNA from 1 species